GCCCGGAUGGCGGAAUCGGUAGACGCGUUGGUCUCAAACACCAAUGAUCGCGAGAUCGUGCCGGUUCGAUCCCGGCUCCGGGUA
rnacentral:tRNA from 1 species